UGAAGACAAGAAUUUGGAAAGAUGUUUUAGAUCUGAACAAUAACAAAAACUGAAUCUAUUUUUUUUUUUUUUUUCAUUUUGUUUUCCAUAUGGGCCUGAAAUAGCACUCAGUCUACAGAGAAAGCAAAAUCGUUUAAAGGAUAUAUACAGAAACUUGAUGUGGUAAGUCUGAAAUAAUUUUCUAAUAAGAAAUUCUAAACUGUGCCCUGCUCACAAGCCAGGUG
rnacentral:lncRNA from 1 species